UUUGCCUUUAACCUCCUUCAG
rnacentral:piRNA from 1 species